GAUGAACGCUAGCGGCAGGCCUAAUACAUGCAAGUCGAACGGUGUCUUCGGACAUAGUGGCGCACGGGUGCGUAACACGUAUGCAACCUACCUUACAUUGGGGGAUAGCCUUUCGAAAGGGAGAUUAAUACCGCAUAAGACAGUAGCUGGGCAUCCAGCAGCUGUUAAAGAGUUAUCGAUGUAAGCUGGGCAUGCGUCCAAUUAGCUAGUUGGUGAGGUAACGGCUCACCAAGGCAAUGAUUGGUAGGGGAACUGAGAGGUCAAUCCCCCACACUGGCACUGAGAUACGGGCCAGACUCCUACGGGAGGCAGCAGUAGGGAACAUUGGGCAAUGGACGCAAGUCUGACCCAGCCAUGCCGCGUGCAGGAUGAAGGCGUUAUGCGUUGUAAACUGCUUUUAUACAGGAAGAAACGACUCUUGCGAGAGGCAUUGACGGUACUGUAUGAAUAAGCACCGGCUAACUCCGUGCCAGCAGCCGCCGUAAAAC
rnacentral:rRNA from 1 species